rnacentral:ncRNA from 1 species
GGUGAACAGGGUGAAACCAGAGGAAACACUGGUGGAAGUCUGUAGGAGUUCUGAUGUGCAAAUUGGUCAUCAGACCUGGAUAUAGGAGCAAAAGACUAAUUGAACC